GGUCACUCAGUGGUCACUCAGGGGUCAGUUGGUCACUCUGGUCACUCCUCCCCAGGGCAUGCCGCGGUUCCGGGCAGGCUGUGGGCACUGUGGGCACUCAGGGGUCACUCAGGGUCACUCAGGGUCACUCAGGGGUCACUCAUUGGUCACUCACUGGUCACUCAGGGUCACUCAGUGGUCCCUCAGGGGUCACUCAGGGGUCACUCAGUGGUCACUCAGGGUCACUCACUGGUCACUCAGGGGUCACUCAGUGGUCACUCAGUGGUCACUCAGGGUCACUCAGUGGUCACUCACUGGUCACUCACUGGUCACUCAGUGGUCACUCAGUGGUCACUCAGGGGUCACUCACUGGUCACUCAGUGGUCACUCAGUGGUCACUCAGGGUCACUCAGGGGUCACUCAGGGGUCACUCAGUGGUCACUCAUUGGUCACUCAGUGGUCACUCAGUGGUCACUCAGUGGUCACUCAGGGUCACUCAUUGGUCACUCAUUGGUCACUCACUGGUCACUCAGGGUCACUCAGGGUCACUCAGGGGUCACUCAGGGUCACUCAGGGUCACUCAGGGUCGCUCAGGGUCACUCAGGGGUCAGUUGGUCACUCUGGUCACUCCUCCCCAGGGCAUGCCGCGGUUCCGCGCCCGCUCGGCGCUGCUGGAGACCCUCAAGGCGCUGGGGCUGUUCCGGGGGGUCAGCGAGAACCCCAUGGUGGUGCCCAUCUGCAGCCGCUCCCAGGACGUUCUGGAGCCGCGGGCCGUGCCGCAGUGGUGGCACUGGGGGGUGACUCAGGGGUGAC
ensembl:lncRNA